rnacentral:tRNA from 1 species
GGGUCUGUAGCUCAGCCUGUGAAGUUUUAUCUUCGGCUAUGGAGAGCGCACGACUGAAGAUCGUGAUGUCAUGGGUUCAAAUCCCAUCAGACCCA